rnacentral:misc_RNA from 1 species
ACGAUAUUCCGCUUUGCGUCAAUAGUGCGAAAGAAUGUCCG